UACGGAGGGUGCUAGCGUUGUUCGGAAUUACUGGGCGUAAAGCGCGCGUAGGCGGGCUGUUAAGUCGGGGGUGAAAUCCCGGGGCUCAACCCCGGAACUGCCUCCGAUACUGGCAGCCUAGAGGAAGGCAGAGGCUAGUUGAAUGGCGAGUGUAGAGGUGAAAUUCGUAGAUAUUCGCCGGAACACCAGUGGCGAAGGCGACUGGCUGGGCCUUUUCUGACGCUGAGGUGCGAAAGCGUGGGGAGCAAACAGG
rnacentral:rRNA from 1 species